GGCCUCCUUGAGCUGUGGUGGGCUCCACCCAGUUGGAGCUUCCCAGCUGCUUUGUUUACCUAAUCAAGCCUGGGCAAUGGCGGGCGGCCCUCCUCCAGCCUCGCGGCCGCCUUGCAGUUUGAUCUCAGACUGCUGUGCUAGCAAUCAGCGAGACUCCAUGGGCAUAGGACCCUCCGAGCCAGGUGCCGGAUAUAAUCUGGUGGUGCGCCGUUUUUUAAGCCGGUCCGAAAAGCCCAAUAUUCGGGUGGGAGUGACCCGAUUUUCCAGGUAUGUCCGUCACCCCUUUCUUUGACUGGGAAAGGGAACUCCCUGACCCCUUGCGCUUCCUGAGUGAGGCAGUGCCUCGCCCUGCUUCGGCUCGCGCACGGUGAGCGCACCCACUGACCUGCGCCCACUGUCUGGCCCUCCCUAGUGAGAUGAACCCGGUACCUCAGAUGGAAAUGCAGAAAUCACCCGUCUUCUGCGUCGCUCACGCUGGGAGCUGUAGACCGGAGCUGUUCCUAUUCGGCCAUCCUACCUUUCUUCUUAAAGCAUCAGCUGGAGUACCCUAUGCCUUGAAACACAGCUGUAAUCACCUUGAAUUCCCUUUAUGUGGAAAAUCCAUUGUUUUCUCUAUAAAGUCUGUGAAUUCCCAAAGGCCUCUGAGCCCAAGCCAAGCCAUCGCAUCCCCUGUGACUUGCACGUAUACGCCCAGAUGGCCUGAAGUAACUGAAGAAUCACAAAAGAAGUGAAUAUGACCUGCCCCACCUUAACUGAUGACAUUCCACCACAAAAGAAGUGUAAAUGGCCAUUCCUUGCCUCAAGAGAUGACAUUACCUUGGGAAAGUCCUUUUCCUGGCUCAUCCUGGC
rnacentral:lncRNA from 1 species